rnacentral:rRNA from 1 species
UACGUAGGUGGCGAGCGUUGUCCGGAAUUACUGGGUGUAAAGGGAGUGUAGGCGGGACGGUAAGUCAGAUGUGAAAAUUAUGGGCUCAACCCAUAAACUGCAUUUGAAACUACUGUUCUUGAGUGAAGUAGAGGCAAGCGGAAUUCCUAGUGUAGCGGUAAAAUGCGUAGAUAUUAGGAGGAACACCAGUGGCGAAGGCUGCUUGCUGGGCUUUUACUGACGCUGAGGCUCGAAAGCGUGGGGAGCAAACAGG